UACGAAGGGGGCUAGCGUUGUUCGGAAUUACUGGGCGUAAAGCGCGUGUAGGCGGGUCUUUAAGUCAGGGGUGAAAUGCCAAGGCUCAACCUUGGAACUGCCUUUGAUACUGGAGAUCUUGAGUCCGGGAGAGGUGAGUGGAAUUGCGAGUGUAGAGGUGAAAUUCGUAGAUAUUCGCAAGAACACCAGUGGCGAAGGCGGCUCACUGGCCCGAUACUGACGCUGAGGCACGAAAGCGUGGGGAGCAAACAGGA
rnacentral:rRNA from 1 species